GCCCACCAGGUGCAGGGAGAAGCAACCAGCUUGUGUAGCGGGUGCAUCUUGGCAGCUGGAGUUAUAAGCUGUAGCCCACACCACUAACUGCAGCACAGAUGUCUGUUUCCCAGUCAGGUUAUUUUCUCCAUGUUGGAAAUCUUGUUCAGCUUGAGGAAGAAGACCUAGUGACCUGGCCAGCAGCUGCCACUCCUGAAAAGCUAGUUACCUAGGUCACUAGCUUAGGAGGGCUCUGGUGAGACGAGCUGAAGAAUGCUGAUGGUUUGCAGGUUCCUCUACUGCUUUCUAGGCAGGUUGUUGGAGAGACAGGUAAGUACGCUAGCUUGCAUCAUAGACCAGAAUCUGUUAUUCUUCUCUAUACCUUCUGUUCAGACUUCCGUAGAUUUUGAAGUUCCCACAAAGUGUUGUUUUUUUUUCAUUGUUUUACUUUUUUUUUUUUUUUUUUUUUUUUUUUGCUUCUUCUGUAUUGGCUGGUGAUGGUCUAUACAUGGCUGAUUAAUCAUAGUGUCUGCUUUGUGUUGCCAGUUCUGGUAAGAGCACAUUUCUGAAGUGCUCUAGUUUGGCUUAAACUGUACCAAGUGACCCAGUGUGAUACCUACUGUGGUCCAUGAAUAUAUAAAGAGUUCCAUAUCCAUUUAUGCCAGGUUGUGCUAAGGACUUAAUGUGAUUGCCAAGAGAAGGGAGGGGAUCUGCCUGGAGAACAAAAUGUGGGCUCACUGAGGAACUCAUACACAAAAUAAGACACUAGAACAGGUGGAUGUAUAUAUAUAUAAGCAUUUUACAGUUAGAUUCCUUUCCUCACAUGACUUAAAUAAGGGCUCUAUGCAAUUGUAUUUUAUCAAAGGGAUAGAAGCUUCCAUUGUAAAAUGUUGGUGUGUUCAUAAGUGGCCUCAUCUUGCAAAGGCAAAUAAUAGCUCUGUGAGUGAGGAGAAAGCAAAUCUGUACUCGAAGGAGCCAGCUUUUAAAGAAGCAUUCCUCAAAAAAUGCCAUAGGACAAUGGAGUUAAUGAGAAGCUCUUCACAGCUUUUAAUCUUGUCCCACCCACUAAGUUUAACAGCAUUUUCAGCUUUUUCUAUUCUUCCUGGGAAGCUGUGCUUAGAAAAUAAUUUUCCUCUUCUUCCCUCCUCAUUUCUCCUCUGUCUACUGGAAUACUUUUUAUCAGUUUUUGUUUUGACUAUAAGGGAUCCUUUAGGGCAAGUAAAUGAAAUCAAGGACGUCCCACUAAUUCCGUUCUCUUAAUGCAAAACUACAAAAUUUUGCAGCCUCAAGAAAACAACUGCUUCCUUUCAUCUCAGAUAAGACACCACAAUAAUGUAACUACUAAGUGACUGAAUGGGCCCCUGGCAAAUUACAGCAUAUGUAGCUACAGUUUCCUCUUAAUUGGUCAUUCAUCUAACAAUAUUUACCCAUAGAUUUAAUACCACAUAUUUGGGAUUCAGAUUAAUGCUUUACUUACUAGUAUCUGUACCUUAGAAGACUGAAAGUUGGACUGAACUGUGAGAGUUUCAGAUUCAAUGCUACACAUGAAAAGACUUUUAAUUUUAAUUUAUGGAGAGAAAAAGACAAAACAAACCACAAACCAAACAAAACAACAACAACAACCCAUCAACCAAACCACAAACCAAAACAACUAAAACCAGACCUUUCCAACACGAUUACAAGAGACAAGAUAUUGUUUUUUCUAGCUCGGUGAUUUUGCUCAAUCAGCUUAGCAACUCUCCAGUCCAGUGAUUUCAGUGGCUCAUGAUUCAUUCUUGCCGGGUUGCUUAGACUGCUGCAAAUGAUCUAAAGAAAACUCUUAGGUUCGUGCUCUGCAAAACAUGCAAACAGACUUUAUCCGUAGUAUAUGGGAUACAGGUUCAUAAGACUAGUGAACACAAUUUAAACUCAAGAGCAGAUUGUCACAGGUAGAUCACCUCUGUUCUGUUUGUCUCUUGCCUCAUAGUAAAUAUCUUUAACUUACAACCCAGACUUGCACUGCAGAAUCAGGAUGAUAAUUUACCUUCAGAUUUUAGGCAGCUAGUUAUGACUUUCUUUCUUGACAGACAUCUGAUCCAUAUUUAAAAAAUGAGUGCAUCCAGCCCUAAAAUUUUUCUUAUAUCUUUGUGCAAUAUUUUAAAAUGUUGUUACUACCUUGACAAAGAAACACAUUUUAUUUGAAAAUUUAUUUAGUUUUAAUGUAAAUGUAUAGGCAUGCAGUACAUAACAAAUACCAAAAGCAUCAGUUUUACUUCCUUGUCCUGCCUCACAUCAUUUUACCUAAAAAAUAUCAUUAAAUAUUCAUUGUCUGGUGUAAAACACUGGUUGUAAAAUGUAGUCAAUUAUCUCACGAUUUAUUGAUUUCUGCAACCCUGGCUUAUCCUACCAGCAGAUAUUUCUCAAUCCUUCUAUCAAAGCUGGGGGCAAGGAAGAGGUAGUCAGAUCCUUACUGACUAAAGGCUGUUGUAAAUGUCUGCAAAUACUUGAAAGUUGCAGGUAGAAUGGGGAGAGAUACCAAUAAGGGAUGUACCAAAACAAGGUUUUCCCAAAAUACAUAGGCCAUCUCAAAAAGCACAUUGAAUAACCAUAUUUAACCUAUUGUUCUGGGCACAAUGGAAUCACCGAUACCAAAAAAGCCUUCCAUAUGAACCAAGACUCUCCCGUGCUAGCAAAAGAUGAAGGCAAGUAGACAACUUGGAAAGCUUGUCAGUAUCUUUAAGAGACUUCAACUAUUGCAUGAGAUAACUCAAGUACUUCGAGUCAGAAGUUGGAAGUUCAGAGUCAAAUUGUAGCUUAUUGUUGUGAAGAAACAGUUUCAGACAUCUUAAAGGAAGCGUGCUGAGUAACUGUCUGGAAAAAAUAUCUUUGCAGAAGUGUUACAGUUAGGUAUUCAUGAAGCAAGACUAUUUUUUAAGGCUUUUUUUGAUGCUAAAGCGGGUGGUGUUGUGGUAAUUGAGGCAGGAUACAAGAGCACAGACGAGAGUUUUAGUGUUUAUGAAAAACGCUGUCAAUUCAGGCACAAUGUAUCAAGAUUUCAGUUGCUUUCUACAAAGGAAAGAUGCUUCAAAAUGAAAAACAAUGCCCAAUAAGAGUCUUUCCUGUAAUGCUUGCUCACUUUGAAAAGCCACUUUGCCUUCCUUGAGAAACAGAAUGUCAUGGAGAGAAAAUGUCUGGCAAAGAGAUGAGGAAGCAACAGAUAUUGCAAUGCAAUCCCCACCCACUGGAAACAAGAGAAUGAUCAGUGUUAGUCACACAGCAAAGAUACAAAAAAUAUCAAUAGCCUUGUAAAUUUGUGAUUUUUGUAGUCCUGGUAGUCCAUCUCAGACCUGAAGUGAACCAAUACUGUCUAACCAACUCCUAAUUUAUGCAUCCACACCUCCAUCCCUCAGAAACUAAUGGAACAACUUAUCCUUGGUGCCAUCUCAAGGCAUAUCAAGCGUAAGAGGGUCAUUAGGGGCAGUCAACAUGGCUUUACCAAGGGUAAGUCAUUCUUGACCACCCUCAUUGACUUUUAUGAGAAUGUAACAAGAUGGAUGGAUGAUGGCAGAGCGGUGGAUGUGGUCUACCUUGACUUCAGUAAGGCAUUUGACACAGUCUCCCACAGCAUCCUUACAGCUAAAGUGAGGGAUUGCGGUCUGGAUGAUCGGGUAGUGAGGUGGACUGAGAACUGGCUGAAGGGAAGAAGCCAGAGAGUCAUGGUCAAUCGGGCAGAGUCUAGUUGGAAGCCUGUAUCUAGUGAAGUGCCUCAAGGGUCAGCACUGGGGCCUAUAUUAUUCAAUAUAUUCACCAAUGAUUUGGAUGAGGGAAUAGAGUGUAUUAUCAGCAAGUUUGCUGAUGACACCAAGCUGGGAGGAGUGGCUGACACGCCAGAAGGCUGUGCUGCCAUCCAGUGAGGUCUGGACAGGCUGGAGAGUUGGGCGGGGAAAAAUUCAAUGAAAUAUAGCAAGGGAAAGUGUAGAGUCCUGCACCUGGGCAGGAACAAGCCCAGGUGCCAGUAUAAGUUGGGAAAUGACCUAUUAGAGAGCAGUGUAGGGGAAAGGGACCUGGGAGUCCUGGUGGACAACAAGAUGACCGUGAGCCAGCACUGUGCCCCUGUGGCCAGGAAGGCCAAUGGCAUCCUGGGGUGUAUUAUAAGGGGGGUGGUUUGUAGGUCAAGAGAGGUUCUCCUUCCCCUCUACUCUGCUCUGGGGAGACCACAUCUGGAAUAUUGUGUCCAGUUCUGGGCCCCUCAGUUCAAGAAGGACACGGAACUGCUGGAGAGAGUCCAGCGCAGGACAACAAAGAUGAUGAAGGGAGUGGAGCAUCUCCUUUAUCAGGAAAGGCUGAGGGAGCUGGGUCUUUUUAGCUCGCAGAAGAGGAGACCGAGGGGUGACCUUAUAAAUGUUUACAAAUAUACAAAGGGUGAGUGUCACGAGGAUGGAGCCAGGCUCUUCUCGGUGACAACCAAUGAUAGGACAAGGGGUAAUGGGUUCAAACUGGAACACAAAAUGUUCCACUUAAAUUUGAGAAGAAACUUCUUCUCAGUGAGGGUGACAGAACACUGAAACAGACUGCUCAGGGAGGUUGUGGAGUCUCCUACUCUGGAGGCAUUCAAAACCUGCCUGGCCGCCUUUCUGUGUAGCCUCAUCUAAGUGUUCCUGCUCCGUCAGGGGGAUUAGACUAGGUGAUCUUUUGAGGUCCCUUCCAAUCCCUAAAAUUCUGUGAUUCUGUGUUUCUGUGAAAUAAGAAACUGAACUCCAGCUUUUUUUCUCCUCAAAGAGGGUGUCAUAAUAGUUCUUCUGAAUCUAGAACGAGUCUGCAGUGUUUGAGUGGAGCAAGGAGGAGUUAAAUAAAUGUUAAGUGGAUAACAUGAGUCAAGGACAUCAGAGAAAGUAGUAAACACACCCUUAUCAGUCAGCCAUUCCAAAAGCUGAGCUGUUGAUCCUAAACAUUCGUUUCAAAACUGCUUCUAUCAUGGAUUAAAGACUGAGCAAGCAAGGCAGGCUCUUAAGUCUGGUGAGCUGGCUGGUGAGGACAACAGGAAGCAUCCUUAUGCCCACUCAUAGUCACAACCCUUGUUAAUGCCAGCACUUUGAAGUAGAUAAGCCACUAAUUCAAUUAAUCCCAAAGAAGCGUUUCCAUUUUUACUUUGAACUAACAUUGACUGGAGCUUCAUUGAAUGCAUAAAAUACCUGUUAUUGAACCCAACUCAUGUCUGGUAAAGAUGCUGAGAAGUGGGAAAGAAGAAAAUUCUAGAAUAUUUAUGGUGUGAAACAGGAGAAGAACAUUCUGCAUAGAAAAUAAUCUUUGUUUUCUGAGUAUCUGUUUCAGCUUUGUACACUUGGAUGUUUAAUACAUUAUUUGGAGAUAUUUUAUCACACGUUUAAGAUCAUUGGAUUUGCUGCUCAUACUUCAAGAUUUUCCAGAAGCAUCAACUUUCCUCACCACCAGGUGAGGAGUGGAAGCAAGUACACCAGGAUUUAGAGACUGAGAUUUUUACUGAAUUCAGCAGGAACUGUCCUAAUGACUGGGCUGUGUAGGAGCUAUGAAGGAUACUCCAGCAGCUGUCAUGUCAAGAUGAGCUCUCUUCAUUCAGUUUUACCCCAGAAAUUGUAUGUUUCAAAGCAUUUGAACUGCUCAGAUAAAGCACUUAUUUUUCUCAUCUGAAAGAAAAAAACAAACCAACCCCCAAAACCAACCAGAAAUUAAGCACUUUCUCUUCCUUUAGCUGCUCUGCUGUGACCUCAUUAUCACAGCAUCACUGAACAUGCUGAUAACACUUCUUAUCUCUGCGGGUGAAAGAAUCCUAACACAAAGCAUCGAUGUCUCUGCCAGUGCCAGAACUGCUGUUACUCCAGAAAAGUGCAAGCGAAAGUGCAGAAGGCUGAUUUAACACAUAGUUCAUUUGAUCUAAACUUCAGGCAACUAACAGAACAGGAAACUGUCCCCUGAAGUACUGAGCAUUGUAUUUUGAAAUUGAAAACUUUGCUCUCUGCUGCCUCAGUCUCAUUACAAAUCAACUGCAGACAUUAUAUAUGCUUGCAACAGUUUGUUUAACUCUUAACAGUCUUGUACUUAACAGUCUGUUACUCUCCAGGGCUUAGUCGAAUAUGGGUUUCUUUUUGUUUUCCUGCUGCUUUCAUGGUUUUGGAGUCAGUGCUUCUACACUAAAUUUCUUUCAAAACCUAGUGUCCAGGUUUGAACCCAAGUAAUCAGGUGCUGUUAAAAAAGUUUCUACAUGGAGUUUUAAAAACUUAUUUUCUUUAGUGAGCAUGGAAACACUUAAAAAAUUUCUGGUCCAGCUCUUACCUCAAUUGAUUUAUAUUCCACCUUGAAGUCAUGUAUGGUGAAAGAGGGUAACAUCUUCAACCAGCAAAGGCAUCUGCAAAAUCAAGAUUUGUUCAAGGGCUUGACAUCUAAGUUCCCAAUACAAGAGCAGAGGUAUGACACAAGUUAAUUGGAAGCACUGACUUUCAAAUGCUGAAAAUCUAGCAGGUGAGGCAAAAUGCCAGCUUGGUUGAGCAGAGAUCUUCUUGAAAUACAAUGAAAAAAAAAUUACAGUGUCAGUGGAAGCAAGGUUAGGCAACAUGGGAGGACUACAGAGAUGCUGCUUGCCACUGUAGAGAGGAAAUUCAUGCUGUCAAAGCUUAAUUGGAAUUGAAGAUGGCCUUUACUUCAGAGGACAAUAAAAAAGACUUUUUAAAAUAUAUUAAUGUUAAAAGCAAACUAGAAAUGACAUUGGUCCAUUACUUGAUGAGUGUGGUCACCUUAUCAACUGGGUCAUAGACAAAGUCAAGAUGUUUAAUGCUUUCUUCGCCUCGGUCUUCAACACCAAAGAUGGACUUGGGGGCCACCAUAAUGCUAGGUUAGAAAACCAUGGCUGCAAGAACGACAAACUCCCAAUCAAUUUGGAAUUUGUAUGGAAUUUGCUACUUCAGUUAGAUCCCUUCAAGUCAAUGGGACUUGAUGGGAUUCAUCCAAGCUUGUUUAAAGAGCUUGCUGACAUCAUAGCAACACCUCUCUCUGUGAUUUUUCAACACUCCCGGGAAUGUGGAGAGGUCCAGGAUGAGUGGAAGCUGGCAAACGUUGUACCAAUCUACAAGAAGGGCAACAGGGAUGACCCUGGCAACUAGUCAUUGGUCCCAGCCAGCAAGGGUUCAUGAGGUGAAAGUUGCUUGACAAACUUAAUUUCUUUCCACGACAAGGUUACUCACCUAGUUGACCAAGGGAAGCCUGUCAAUGUGAUAUUUUUUGAUUUCAGUAAAGUGUUUGAUACUGCCUCUCACAGUAUCCUUCUGGACAAGAUGUCCAGCACACAGCUGGAUGGGUGGGUGAGCAAUUGGCUGACGGGCUGGGCUCAAAGGGUUCUAAUAAAUGCAGUUACGUCGGGCUGGAGACCAGUCUCUAAUGGGGUUCCACAGUGAUCCAUCUUAGAGCCAGCACUCUUCAAUGUCUUCAGAAAUUACUUAGAUUCAGAACUUGAGGGAUUGUUUAGUGAGUUUGCUGAUGACACAAAAGUGUGAGGAGCUGUCGACACUCUCUAGCACAGAGAGGCCUGGUGGAGGAAUCUGCGAAAAUUGGAGAACUGGGCAAUCACCAACUGCAUGAAGUUCAACAAGUGCCGGAUUUUGCACCUGGGACAUGGCAGCCCUGGCUGUACAUGCAGACUGGGGAAUAAGAAGCUGGAAAGCAGCUCCAUGGAGAGGGAUCUGGGGGUUCUGGUCAAUGGCAAUUUGAACAUGAGCCAACAGUGUGCCCUGGCAGCCAGGAGGGCCAACCAUGUCCUGGGCGCAUCAAGCACAGCAUUGCCAGCCGGGCAAGAGAGGUGAUUGUCCUGGUCUACUUGGCACUGGUGCAGCCUCACCUGGACCACUGUGUGCAGUUCUGGGCAGCACAGGAUAAAAAGGAUAUUAAGCUACUGGAGGAUGUCUAGAAGAGGUCUAUGAAGUUGGUGAAGGUUUUGAAGAGGAAGCAGCUAAAGUCACUUGGUUUGUUCAGCCUGAAGGAGACUGAAGGGAGACCCAUCCCGGUCCACAGCUUCCUCACAUGGGGAGGAAAGAAGGGUAGAUGCCGAACUCUUCUCUUUAGUGACCAAUAACAGAACCCAAGGGAAUGACAGGAAGAUGUGCCAGGGAAGGUUUAGGUGGGACAUUAGGAAAAGGUUCUUCCCCCAGAGGGUAGGGGAGCACUGGAACAGGCUCCCCAGGGAGGUGUCACAGCCCUAAGUCUGACAGUAUUGAAGAAAAGACUAGCCAAUGCCCUCAGACACAUGGUGUGAACUGUGGAGUUGCCAUAUGCAGGGACAGGAGUUGGAGCCGAUGAUCCUUGUGGAUCCCUUUCAAUUCAGAACAUUCUAUGAGUCUAUGAAUUCUAAGCUUGAGAGUUCUCAUUUCUUUCUAGAUUAAUGCUCCAUUUUCUCCUUUCCACAUUAGGUGUCUUCUCACAAAUAUCUCACUGACGGGCAUUUUAAACAGAAGUGAGGAAAAAUAUUUGAUUGAUUAAAUCUGUGUUUUAAAUUUUUUUCCCAUUUUGAUGGAGAGCUCCAAAAAUCAAAUUAAGGCUAUUUUGAGUCUUCUGCUGAACAAGAACAAACAUUUCCUUCACCUCCAAAACGCUGAGUAAUUUGAGACAUCAGUGGAAGGAACUAGUGAAUUCUUCAUUCUGGGUUGUUACUGUAGCAACGCACUCAACAUUUACACCAAUGAGGUGUAUGUGAGCUCUGUUAUGUUGUUUAUCCCCUUGCAUAUCCCCUUGCACAGCAAUCACAAAGCAAUAUCUCAUCCACUGGAGUGUAAAGAUAAUAACCUUGUUUAUGAUCUGAAGAGUUAAAGACACUUUUGAAAAAACUGAAGAAGGCUACUAUGCUUGUAAGUGUUCUUUUGUAUACAGUAGCUGAAACCAGCCCAUGAUGAAUAUUAAAAAAAAAAGAAUUUGUUUGUACAUUAGUUACAUAAGUUAUAUACCAAAGAAUGAAAGACAGUAGGAGUUAACAGUGUGGAAGCUUCCAACUAUGUAUGCACAGAGUUUCCACAAACCUGACUUUAUAUUCAGUAAAGCUUUGUUAUUUUUUAUGUCCACUGAGGUAGCUCUAUUGAUAACUUAUGCAUUAGUAAUGGGAUAGCUGAAAACUGCAUGCGGUUCUGCAGACAGCUGAAAAUUAGUAGUAGUGGAAAUUGCUCUACUCCCUUUAGACUUAUCAUCUUACUUAUUAAUAUCUAUACACAUAUAUAUAUAUCUAUAUAUACACAUAUAUAUAUCUAUAUAUACACAUAUAUAAUAUCUAUACCUAUGACAGAGUGCAA